AUACCGCAUAACAUAAUUGAACCGCAUGAUUUGAUUAUCAAAGAUUUAUCGCUGAAAGAUGAGCUCGCGUCUGAUUAGCUAGUUGGUAAGGUAACGGCUUACCAAGGCGACGAUCAGUAGCCGGACUGAGAGGUUGAUCGGCCACAUUGGGACUGAGACACGGCCCAGACUCCUACGGGAGGCAGCAGUGGGGAAUAUUGCACAAUGGAGGAAACUCUGAUGCAGCGAUGCCGCGUGAGGGAAGAAGGUUUUAGGAUUGUAAACCUCUGUCUUCAGGGACGAAAAAAGACGGUACCUGAGGAGGAAGCUCCGGCUAACUACGUGCCAGCAGCCGCGGUAAUACGUAGGGAGCGAGCGUUGUCCGGAAUUACUGGGUGUAAAGGGAGCGUAGGCGGGAUCGCAAGUCCGAUGUGAAAACUAUGGGCUUAACCCAUAAACUGCAUUUGAAACUGUGGUUCUUGAGUGAAGUAGAGGUAAGCGGAAUUCCUAGUGUAGCGGUGAAAUGCGUAGAUAUUAGGAGGAACAUCAGUGGCGAAGGCGGCUUACUGGGCUUUAACUGACGCUGAGGCUCGAAAGCGUGGGGAGCAAGCAGGAUUAGAUACCCUGGUAGUCCACGCCGUAAACGAUGAUUACUAGGUGUGGGGGGACUGACCCCUUCCGUGCCGCAGCAAACGCAAUAAGUAAUCCACCUGGGGAGUACGACCGCAAGGUUGAAACUCAAAGGAAUUGACGGGGGCCCGCACAAGCAGUGGAGUAUGUGGAUUAAUUCGAAGCAACGCGAAGAACCUUACCAGGUCUUGACUCGUAUGCAUAGCUCAGAGAUGAGUGAAAUCUCUUCGGAGACAUAUAGACAGGUGGUGCAUGGUUGUCGUCAGCUCGUGUCGUGAGAUGUUGGGUUAAGUCCCGCAACGAGCGCAACCCUUACUGUUAGUUGCUACGCAAGAGCACUCUAGCAGGACUGCCGUUGACAAAGCGGAGGAAGGUGGGGAUGACGUCAAAUCAUCAUGCCCCUUAUGACCUGGGCCUCACACGUACUACAAUGGCUGUCAACAGAGGGAAGCAAAGCCGCGAGGUGGAGCGAACCCCUAAAAGCAGUCUUAGUUCGGAUUGUAGGCUGCAACCCGCCUACAUGAAGUCUGAAUUGCUAGUAAUCGCAGAUCAGCAUGCUGCGGUGAAUACGUUCCCGGGCCUUGUACACACCGCCCGUCACGCCAUGGGAGUCGGUAACACCCGAAGCCUGUAGUCUAACCGCAAGGAGGACGCAGUCGAAGGUGGGAUUGAUGACUGGGGUGAAGUCGUAACAAGGUA
rnacentral:rRNA from 1 species